rnacentral:rRNA from 1 species
UACAGAGGGUGCGAGCGUUGUCCGGAAUCACUGGGCGUAAAGGGCGCGUAGGUGGCCUGGUAAGUAGGGGGUGAAAUCUUGCGGCUCAACUGCGAGGCUGCCUCCUAAACUGUCAGGCUCGAGCAGAGUAGAGGCAGGUGGAAUUCCCGGUGUAGCGGUGGAAUGCGUAGAGAUCGGGAAGAACAUCGGUGGCGAAGGCGGCCUGCUGGGCUCUUGCUGACACUGAGGCGCGACAGCGUGGGGAGCAAACAGG